UACGGGGGGGGGCAAGCGUUGUUCGGAAUUACUGGGCGUAAAGGGCUCGUAGGCGGCCAACUAAGUCGGAUGUGAAAUCCCCAGGCUUAACCUGGGAAUUGCAUCCGAUACUGGAUGGCUUGAAUCCGGGAGAGGGAUGCGGAAUUCCAGGUGUAGCGGUGAAAUGCGUAGAUAUCUGGAGGAACACCGGUGGCGAAGGCGGCAUCCUGGACC
rnacentral:rRNA from 1 species